rnacentral:lncRNA from 1 species
UGAAUAUUCUCUUUCACAAAGUGCCACUUAAGUCAUUUGCCCACUUUCUAUUGAGCUGUCAAUCUUAUCUCUUGAUGCAUAUGAGGUCUCUGUGUUUUUGAAUCCUCUGUUGGAUAUAUUUAUUACAAAUAUCUUCUCUUAGUCUGUAACUUCUCUUCCACACUUAAGGUUGUCUUUUCAUGAUCAGAAGUUCUUAAUUCUGAUGUAGUCCAGUUUAUUAAAUGUUCCCCUUAUGUUUGAUUCAGGUCAACAGCUGUCCACCAAGCAUUCUCUGUGCCAAGCGCUCUGCUAGGAAUGAGGACGGUGGGAGGUGGAGAAGCGGCCGCGUCCACAGCGGAGGGCGGGCAGGGAAGGCGGCGCACCCACGUUAUCGGGAUGCUGAUGCUCAGCGAGAGCGUCUGGGAAGGAGGCGUGUCCCGGGCACCACGUGACUGUGGCCCCGGAGGAGAAAGGCACUUUUGCUUGAGGGGAGGCCUUCCGAAGAGAGAGAUAUAGGAAGUGGAUCUUAAUCUGCCGCAGAUUCCCCAGCCCCUGGGGGCAGCCCUCCACCCUAAGAGAAACCGAGACAUGGAUGAGUCAGGACAUGCCUUCCCUGCCGACUCGCCCGGCCUGCUCGGGAUCAGAAUCAGCCAACACCCAUUCCCAACACACUGGUUACACCAUCCACUCGCCACCCUCGAGCUGGGACCCACCCAGCUCUGCCUUUAAGGGUGGCGCUCGGCUUGCUGUUCUGCGGAGGCCCACACCCUCUCUGUGGCUUUAUCCUCUACUUUAACCCUCCCACAGAAGCACAGACAGAUUAUCCCGGCCCCUGGGAAGCACCUCCAGUUCUCAGGCAUCGGGUGUCUUCCGGCGUUUUGUCUGCAGUAAACGUUUUCCUGCCAAGAGCUUUUUCUGAAAGCAGAAUUGUCUCCUCAGGACAGAUUCCUGGGAGAGAAACGACGGGGUCAGAAGUUGUGGGCAUCUUUAUGGCUCUGGAUAUCCAUCCCUCAUCAAAGAUCAUGGUGACUUUUUUUAUUUUGAAUUGUGAUUCUUGUAGUUGAUGCUGUUAUUGUUACGAAAGGAUUAGAUGAUCGAUGUAGAAAACCUGGAAAAGUCGAAAGAUGCAAAUAAAAAUCUCCCGUAUUUCACCCACCUAAAUGGAAUCCUUAUCAGUAACGUGUUGGUGUAUCUUUUUCCUGUAUUUAUUUUUCUUUAAUGUAAGUUUUAGGGUUUUUUGUUUGUUUCAGUGCAUGCAUGAAUUAACAUAAUUGUGAUGAUACUCUGAAUAAAUUGGAGAUCACAGUUUUC